rnacentral:tRNA from 3 species
GUGGGAGUAUCCGAGCCAGGUCAAAGGAGUAGGAUUUAGGGUCCUAUCGCGCAGGCGUUCGGGGGUUCGAAUCCCUCCUCCCACA